UACGUAGGGUGCGAGCGUUGUCCGGAAUUAUUGGGCGUAAAGGGCUCGUAGGCGGUCUGUCGCGUCGGGAGUGAAAACUCAGGGCUUAACCCUGAGCCUGCUUCCGAUACGGGCAGACUAGAGGUAGCAGGGGAGACGGCGAAUUCCUGGUGUAGCGGUGGAAUGCGCAGAUAUCAGGAGGAACACCAGGUGGCGAAGGCG
rnacentral:rRNA from 1 species